GCCAGGGGUGGUGGCACACAUCUGUAAUUCCAGCUACUUGGGAGACUGAGGCAAGAGGAGCCCCUUGAGACCAGAAGUUUGAGGUCAGUCUGGGCAACAUAGCAAGAACCUGUCUCAA
rnacentral:sRNA from 1 species